rnacentral:lncRNA from 1 species
GGCCCUUGUUCUUUCAUAUUUUUAGAUGCACAACUUUUAUUAGGUUAGUUAUAUCGUGUAUAAGCCAAAAUGAUCUAUCAUUUAGUAUAGAAUUAUAUGUAGACGUACAUCGUCUCAUUCUUACCGUAGCAUAUUUUCAAUCCAAAUCUACUAUGUUUCCAAUCUAAAGCUAAUUAACAAAUCUAAAUAUAACAUGAUACUAUGUUUUGAACAGCACACGUCUACGCACAAUAUGAUAAGUUCGAUGACAAGUUAUAUUAUGAUAAAUGACGUGAUUAUUGUAUAAAAUCUUCAAACCAUAAGUUUAGGAGCAUGUUUAGUGGUCCAUCUUCCAGCGUCAAUGGCCAGUGGAGAGCUUCAGGAGUCCUGAGAUCGACACAGAGAUUCUUGUAUAGUACGCACUUCAUGUUGACCGACCGUGUAGUUAACGAAAACAUUUAGAUACUUUUGUUUAUAUUUAAUAAUUAUUAUUUAACAUAGCCAGGGACGAAGCUAUAUUGUCAUUAGAGAGUGCAAAUACAUCCUCCAAAAUUGUAAAAACAGUGAUUAUGUCUAAACUUUUACCAUAUAUGCAU